rnacentral:tRNA from 1 species
GCCCGAGUGGCGGAAUGGCAGACGCGGCGGUCUCAAAAACCGCUGGGAGACCGUGUGGGUUCGAGUCCCACCUCGGGCACCA